GAUGAACGCUGGCGGCGUGCCUAAUACAUGCAAGUCGAGCGAACGGACGAGAAGCUUGCUUCUCUGAUGUUAGCGGCGGACGGGUGAGUAACACGUGGAUAACCUACCUAUAAGACUGGGAUAACUUCGGGAAACCGGAGCUAAUACCGGAUAAUAUUGUGAACCGCAUGGUUCAAAAGUGAAAGACGUUCUUGCUGUCACUUAUAGAUGGAUCCGCGCUGCAUUAGCUAGUUGGUAAGGUAACGGCUUACCAAGGCAACGAUGCAUAGCCGACCUGAGAGGGUGAUCGGCCACACUGGAACUGAGACACGGUCCAGACUCCUACGGGAGGCAGCAGUAGGGAAUCUUCCGCAAUGGGCGAAAGCCUGACGGAGCAACGCCGCGUGAGUGAUGAAGGUCUUCGGAUCGUAAAACUCUGUUAUUAGGGAAGAACAUAUGUGUAAGUAACUGUGCACAUCUUGACGUUACCUACUCAGAAAGCCACGGCUAACUACGUG
rnacentral:rRNA from 1 species